rnacentral:rRNA from 1 species
UAUCAAUAAGCGGAGGAAAAGAAAAUAACAAUGAUUUCCUUAGUAACGGCGAGUGAACAGGAAAAAGCUCAAAGUUGGAACCUGUUUGGCCUAGCUAAACCGGAUUGUAAACUGUAGAAGUGUUUUCCAGGCAAGCCGGACCGAUAAGUCCUUUGGAACAGGGCAUCAUAGAGGGUGAGAAUCCCGUCUUCGGUCUGAGCAUUUGCCUUUUGCGAUACACUUUCAAAGAGUCAGGUUGUUUGGGAAUGCAGCCUAAAUUGGGUGGUAAAUCUCACCUAAAGCUAAAUAUUGGCGAGAAACCGAUAGCGAACAAGUACCGUGAGGGAAAGAUGAAAAGAACUUUGAAAAGAGAGUUAAACAGUAUGUGAAAUUGUUAAAAGGGAACCGUUUGGAGCCAGACUGGCUUGUCUGUAAUCAGUCUAAGCUUCGGCUUGGAUGCACUUGCAGGCUAUGCCUGCCAACGACAAUUUGGCUUGAGGGAAAAAACUAAGGGAAAUGUGGCCCAUCCGUGGGUGUUAUAGUCCCUUAGAAAAUACCUUGGGCUGGAUUGAGGUACGCAGCGAAUGCUAUUUGGCGAGUUGGCUGGGAAUAUUUUCUGAGGUGCUUUGGUACUGAGGUUGAUAUUCCUAGUUACACUUCUAU